UGGAGGCGCGUUGGGGCUGGCGUGCUGCUCACGUUUUGCCGCUGCCCUAGGUUGUCCGUUUGCUGCGGUGUGAGCUGACCCUGUCUUGGCUGGGAUGUCCCCGUGUGGGUAGAUGUAUAGCCUACCUGUGCUGCUGGUGUCUCGUGUGGGCCAUUGCGUGUGUGCGCGGAGUGGGUGCCUCCGCCGGGGACUAUCGGUCUUGGGCCUAUUUGACCAGUUUUCUGAGUCAAAAUCCGGGGACAUUUUGAGCUCAGAAGUGUAAAUGCCUCCAAAAAAGUGGCUAGAGCUGACAAAGGA